UACGGGGGAUGCGAGCGUUAUCCGGAUUUAUUGGGUUUAAAGGGUGCGUAGGCGGCGCUUCAGGUCAGCGGUGAAAUACCGGGGCUCAACCCCGGGGCUGCCGUUGAAACCGGAGCGCUAGAAUUCCGAUGCCGUCGGAGGAAUGUGUGGUGUAGCGGUGAAAUGCAUAGAUAUCACGCAGAACGCCGAUUGCGAAGGCAGCUUACCAGUCUGCGACUGACGCUCAGGCACGAAAGUGUGGGUAUCGAACAGG
rnacentral:rRNA from 1 species